GAUGAACGCUGGCGGUCUGCUUAACACAUGCAAGUCGAACGGAAUCCUUCGGGAUUUAGUGGCGGACGGGUGAGUAACGCGUGAGAAUCUGCCUUCAAGUUCGGGACAACUGCUGGAAACGGCUGCUAAUACCGGAUGUGCCGAGAGGUGAAAGCUUUAGUGCCUGAAGAUGAGCUCGCGUCUGAUUAGCUAGUAGGAGUGGUAAUGGCACCCCUAGGCGACGAUCAGUAGCUGGUCUGAGAGGAUGAUCAGCCACACUGGGACUGAGACACGGCCCAGACUCCUACGGGAGGCAGCAGUGGGGAAUUUUCCGCAAUGGGCGCAAGCUUGACGGAGCAAGACCGCGUGAGGGAAGAAGGUCUGUGGAUUGUAAACCUCUUUUGAUGGGGAAGAAGACAGUGACGGUACCCAUCGAAUCAGCCUCGGCUAACUCCGUGCCAGCCGCCGCAGUAA
rnacentral:rRNA from 1 species